GGACUACACGGGUAUCUAAUCCCGUUCGCUCCCCUGGCUUUCGCACCUCAGCGUCAGAAACGAGCCAGGACACUGCCUUCGCCUUGGUGUUCUUCCGGAUCUCUACGCAUUUCACUGCUCCACCCGGAGUUCCAUGUCCCUCUCUCGCUCUCAAGUCCACCAGUUUUCGAAGUCGUUCACCGGUUAAGCCGUUGAUUGUCACUUCGAACUUGGCGAACCGCCUGCGUGCCCUUUACGCCCAAUAAUUCCGGACAACGCUCGCCCCCUACGUAUUACCGCGGCUGCUGGCAC
rnacentral:rRNA from 1 species